UGAUAAGAGCCUGUUUUUGAUGGUUCAAUAAAGUUGACCUCUCCUUCAGGUGACUUAAAGGGAGACCAGAUGUGCGGCAGCUGGGUGUCGUGGUGCAGAGAAAGUAAUUAUUUUCUCCAUUAUGUUGCACCACAUUUUGGGAAAGAAUGUUUGAAUCAAUCUUUGUCAUUUAUUUCUGUAGUCCACAUCUGUAAUCCCAGCUGUUGUAUUGUAACACGGUAGCUGGGACCCCUCUUUAUAGGGAGCGGCUAAAGGGACGAGGCUGGAAGCAAACCUGAGCCUGGAUCUUAACCUUCUUUCUAAACCUAAUGCCGCAAUUUAACCGCAAAGAAAGUGAGGCCUAAAGUAACUUGACUGUUACCUAAACUUGCUUGCCUAAACUCGCUUGUCUAAACUCGCUUGCAUAAAACCUAAACUCGCUUGCAUAAAACCUGAACUUGCUUGGCUAAACUCGCGUCGCUUGCCUAAUACCUGAACUCGCUUGC
ensembl:lncRNA